rnacentral:rRNA from 1 species
CCCUUAGAUGUUCUGGGCCGCACGCGUGCUACACUGAGUGGAUCAGCGGGUCAGGUUGCGCGAAAGCGUUUCCUAAUCUUUAAAUCCGCUCGUGAUGGGGAUAGAUUAUUGCAAUUAUUAGUCUUGAACGAGGAAUUCCUAGUAAGCACAAGUCAUCAGCUUGUGUUGAUUACGUCCCUGCCCUUUGUACACACCGCCCGUCGCUCCUACCGAUUGAAUGUUCCGGUGAGCUCUUCGGACUGCGCGGUCUGCAGUUUCUGCGUUCCGUGCGGAAAGUUGCGCAAACCUUAACAUUUAGAGGAAGGAGAAGUCGUAACA